UAUAUUAAGGGGGGGGGGUACACAUGGAUUGAUGGCCAUUUUUGAAAUGGCUGUAAUUUUAAAGAUAUUCACCAGAGUUAUGACAAACUAUAUAUCAGUAGAAAGCUUAUGACCUAUAGAAACUAAAAAUACUAAUCACUAGUACCUAACGUCCUUUGUAACCUGACACCAGGCCGGCAAUCAUACCACAUGCUGUGCAAAACUAGGGUGAAUUUGAGAAAAGAUAUCUGCUUAUAAAUUGCUUGGAAUUUUAAGAAAUUUUAUCAGUAAGUAGUAUAAGCAUCAUUAUCUUAAAUGAGCAUAGAACUUUUUUGUAUGAUAAAUCUAGUGGUCACAGCAGAGGUACAAAGUUAACAUAGGUUUUUUCGAUAAUAUUUUUUGUCAUAAAAUGUAUUCCACACAAGAUACAGAAAUUUCCUAUGCUUAAUUAAGACAGCUGUAAUAAAAGAAUAAGCCCUGAAAAUUUCAGGACAAUUGGUUAAAUACAUCAUGAGAUAUCUUUUCUCAAAGACGGAAAAUGUACAUUCCGAGAAAACAAGUGUUAAAGUUCUUAAACAACUGUUCGAGCUGUUCCUGACAGGUUUCAGGGACUUUAGCCAAAUUUUUUUGUCAUUAGAAGUACUUUUAGCACUUCAAAAGCCUCCAGCCUCAUAGGUUGUCCCUUCUGCUUCUCAUAGAGCUUCGUCUCUCGGUUUUCUUUUGGAGCUGCUGCACCUGUCGACGUCUGUUGUUUUUUCAGAUGUCUGGCAGUUAGACUUUCUGACCUGUUUCUUGUCUUUUAAAAGCAAACUUAGUUUUUCCUGCAGUUUGAUGUUUGGUUUAAAAGAUGUUCCUGUGUGUUAACUUAAAUGACGCUAUUGGUAUAGCUAAAUUUUCCAUAGUUUUCUUUACCGAACCCUCUUGCUGGUAACAAGGAUGUUUAGAGAUGCACACUCCACUCAUCGUGCUUACCAAAGGAACAUGCAGACCAACAUUUACCACAGUUUUUUGUAUACGUGAAUCAAUUUUCAAUACCAAAUUACAUGAUUUUGUAAGAUAACACUGUCUGUAACUGUAUUCUUGUGCUAUUGCUGCAAGCGGUACACUCGGUAAACAUAUUCGGCCCAAAACAAGCUCUCAAACUUGGUACACCUUGACAUGUAAUUACAGUACCUAAAAUGCAGUACAGAAACAACCUCAUUAAUAUUAAUACCAAGAAGCAUUAAAAUAGUAAAAUUAUAGCAAUGAAGCAAGAAAUAAUGUAUUGA